CAAAUACAGAUGCUGACAGUCAUAGGAAAAUUAUUUCUAUUAAAAGAACAUACAUUAUUGCUGUGUUUUCCUUUCAUGUGGAUUAAGAGCACGAUGGUCCAACAUCAUUUGUUUUCAAGACAGAAUUGUGGGAACUGUAGUCCUCAGGGAGAGUUUGGUGACAUCAGAUUGCUGGAAGUCAUGACACUUAAAAAUUAUGAGAACUUCAGAGUAAACAGGAGAUUUACAGAGUACAGGAAAAAUACUUGGGAAGAUACAGAUGGUUAUAUCUUUUCAAUGGGAGGGGAAUUUUAUAAUAGUGGUAGCUGUGUUUGGUGGUCUGCAAACAUUGCUGCUUAAACAACUGAAAGCUAGGUAGUGCUCCAGGUCUUACUGGUAUACUGUUAAAUGCUUCCUCAUCUUUUUUUUUUUUUUUUUUUUUUUUUUUUUUUUUUUUUUUUUUUUUUUUUUGGUUGUCCUAUGAGACUAGAAAACAGUAGGCUGGAUCUCCAUUUCAGGAAGCGGACCUAGGAAUCAGCCAUACAAGCUUGAGGCAGUAAGUGGUAUUUUUGUUCCAUGGUGCCCUAAAACAGAGGAAGUGCAUAGGGCUCCAUACAAUGCAGUAUGUUACUGUAGAGAUAGCCAUGGUUAACGAGUGCACUACCAAGUAAUGCAAGUUCCCACUGCACCAGGUGUGAAGCCCAGUAGAAGGACCAAGAAAAAAAAACUGCAGCACUAAGCCAGGCAGAAUGCAACAUGCCCUGAUCUAAAGAGAUACCUCACCAGACCACAUCCAUCUGAAGCUUGCUUAUGUGGAAGCAGAGCUGGCCAGGCCAAGACAGCUUGAGAGGAGCUUCCCAUGGCCUCAGGGGUGAUGAGCACUGCUUGUUGCAGCUGAGGAGGCUGCAUCAGCAACACCAACCUGGGAAGUGGGGACCUGCCUGGAGCGAUGCGGUGAGGCAUUCUGAAAGGAGCAUUAAUCUUGCCUGGAAGGGCCGACCUGCUGGCAGCCGAUUCAUCAGCAACACUCCCUGGAAGCUGCUGGCCCACACUUUCUGUCAGUGGUGGGUGGCAAGAUUCAGAAAUGUUAAGAGAAGAAUACCUACAGUCUUCAAAUCUGAGCUCCUCUGUAUGCGGACCAUGGGCAGGUAACCUAUUCUAUCUUCAUUUGCAUUGAGUCAGAGAAAUUCCAGUGUUCCAACCAGCGUCUCCUGUGGACCAUUCACAGAUCUUUCAUUUUCUCAGCCAAACUUAAACAUUCCUUCUGUAGAAAUGUUUGGUCCAGUCUGUACAUAUGCAUAUUCAGCUUCACUUCUUUCAGUAGCUGUUUUUUUUUUUUUUUUUGAGGAAAGGUAACUGCCAGAAGAACAAAGGAAAUUUUGAAGGGUAUAUUAUAUGAAGAAUAUUAUUAACAGUACACAGCAGAAAUAUAAUUUAAAUACUUUCUCUGCUCAUGACAACGGAUUGCAUAUUAUGUAUUAUUACCAUUUACCUACUAUAACUGCAAUCCUCAUUUGUUCACAAUGAUGGUAUAUUUAUGGUCAUGCAAUAGCUUGUUUAGGCCAAAUAUAGGUCAUUACAUUUCUGUGUUUCUGUGAAGUACUCAACACUUUGUGGCUUUAUAUGCUGACCUCUCCUCUCUUGGCUUAAAUUAUUUCAUACUAACAUACGCAAAUUUUCCCUUUCUCUCUCUUUCUUUUUCCCUACUCCCCCUCCCCCCCCCCCCCCCCCCCCCCCCCCCCCCGUUUUAUUCCUUCAUUUAACUGAUGGAAUUUUAAUUCACUAUUGUAGACUGAGUGGCAUGCAUUCACUCUAAUGGUCAAAUGAUUAGGGUGGCAUAAAGGAUGCUAAAACAUAUUUAUUUGUCAUUGAAUAUUCAGAAAAGAUCAUGAUCUUACAUACAGUUCAAUAAUAAGAUACAUGGUAGAAAGUUGAUUUUCCCUCUAAACUUGAGACCCUUUCCAUACUGGCAUUCAAUUUGAUUAAUGUUUACAUUAACUGCAAUUUAUUGGUCACUUGCUCAGCAGAAGCUUUCCAAAGACAGAUUACAUAUGCUAAUGCAUUACUAUUUACAUCCCCAUAAAACAUCCACAGAUUACAAAUUGCAAAAUGCAGGACUAAUUAACACUGAUCAACAGACAUGUAUGCUGAUGUGAUAUAUUGGUAAAACCUCAUUUUCAGCUUCUUUUCGUCAGAAUCAACGUGUUAACCAUCAUUCUGAGGAACGUCUGAGCGGACAUUAAAACACACCAGUAAGACCCUAAAGACCCUAUUCAUAUACUCAGCCUUUUUUUUUUUUUUCUAUAGACCUAAAUAGUUAAAGAUAGGAAUGACUCUCAGAAGUAUCUGCUUUGAAAAUCAAAUACCAUUUACCUAACCAUGUAAGUAAAGACAUACUGGUAAAGCAAACCAAGGAGGAUAUUCACAAGACUGAUUCACAUAGCCCAAGAAACACAUCUUAGUAUAGAUGAAAACUGAAAUAUUUCUUUUUUACGUAUCGUUCCUAGAUAUUUUUAGUGUGAUGAGAAUAGGAGAUAUGAUAAGAAGAAAAUUGCAACUAAAUUGUAACUAAAAUCAAGAAGGAAAAAGUUUAAGGCAAUGAGUGCAUUCAGAGAUCAUUAUGUGUGUAGUACAUUAGAAAAGCAACAGCUUCCAUUUCUGGUAAAGGAAAUGUAUCAAAGAAAAAAAAAAAGCAAAAACACUUUAUUCUUGUUUUGCUCAAGUACAUUUACACGUAAGUGCACCAUAUGCUAGUGGGCAGCAAGACUAAGGCAGAUGUGAAGGUUUGUGAGAGGAACACACAGGAAAGAGAAAUUAGCAUGAAGAAGCCGGCUGAUCUUUCUCACAGCCCAUAAUCAGAAAGGAAUGUGUCAUUCCUGUUUACUCCUAGGCAGUGCUAGAAAAUGAGUAGCAUUAAACAUUCAGCAACAUUAUUCCUUUUCUAUGUCUGCAUAAAUUUUUAACAGUUGUGAUGUCCAAAAUAAUUUGUAUAAGUUUUAAAGCUAGGAAAUGUGUUCAUUCAUAAUACACCUUAGCCAGUCAGUCCAAUAGACACAGUUUCUGAGUACUGCCCAUAAAGCCUGUAUUGGACUAUUUUUAAAUGAAUUGGAAAUUAAAUUUUAUAUUUGUACCAUCUUCCUUCACAAUAUAAGCAGUCAAGUUUUGGCCUACUAAAAGAUGCCCCAGAAAACCUCUGCCUCUUUUGUCAGAUACACCUUUGCCAGCACAUGUGCACUCGCACCUACAACUUACUACACCUACCUUCUUUUUGUCAUCACUGGUGAUACAAGAUAUAUUUCAUAUACAUAUAUACACUAAUAAUACAUAUACAUACAUAUAUUUAGUAUAACACAUGUUUCUCAUUUGAAGUUGUCAUUUUUGAGGAAUGCCAUUUCAAGUGUGUUGAUACAAUAAGUCCUAUUGUUAGUGCUUUUAUGGUCUCACAUACAUACCAACCAUUCUGUACUUCACAUACAUACCAGACCAGUCUUCAAUCUCCCCACUUUCCUUGAUGUUUCCUCUCCAUCAGCUACAAAAGUCUUUCAGAUGGUAGAGGAAUAUGUCAUAUUUUCUCAUUUGUUGUGAACAAGGUUCAGGUCAUCCAUGCAGUCUGUUCAGCUACCAUAAUUGCUUCCUCUUAACAGGUGGGGAAUGCUUUGCCAGAACAUGACAGUAAAGGAAGUAGAUUCAUGAACUUAAAGAGCUUUUCCCUGCCUAGUCUGAUCUCCAAGCAUUUCAAAUUUUAUUAACCUCUUCUGUUAUCUGUUUUAUUAUUCUAGUGCAUAAUAUCAUACAAGCAAUGUGGUUGGGCUAUCAAUAAAUGGCUCUGCUAUUAGAAACAAAGCAAGACUGACAUAUAAAAAAAAAAAAAAAAAAAAAAAAAAGAGAGAGAUCUGACUUUCUUCUCUGGUCAAAAGGACAAAAUAAAGCAACCUGACUCAUGUCCUUGGCAACUUUGCUACCAGAAUUUCCUUCUAAACAUUCCUGACUGCAGUCCCCCAAUAUUGACAAAUGCUUCAGCUGCAAAAGGGCUGUUAGCUUCAAAAUGAAGUAUUUUCUUGAAAACAAACAGAAAACAUACAGAGUAUGUAAAUACAUGUUUUAGGCAUUAAAAAGUUUAGGACUCAAAUGGCUUCAACUUUCCAACUUCUGGUGAGACCUCUGUAGCACUAACUUAGUGUGCAAGUUUGUAUUUCUAUACAGGAUAGCAUUUGUUCCAAUCUAACCUUCUCACAUAGAACAUUUCUAUAGUUAUUUAAGUUACUGAGUUUAAAUUUUUCUCUUGAUCCAUAGUAUGGAAAUUAUACUGUAACCACAGAUAUUUGUCUGGAAACCAGUAUAGUAUCAGUAUCAUCUGCUGAUUUUUGUCUUCUGAUUUCACCCAAAGUGAAACAAUCAUUCUGGAAGACUAUGCAGUACAGAUAUUAGAUUAAUCAGUUAUGUAUUUGUCAAGAGAGAAAGCAUAAAGAAAUAUAUGCCCUGUAUAUUUCUACAUUUAAUGAAUAAAUUAUGGAAACAAUUGCAUGUGUUCACAGAAGAGAAAAUCGUACUCAAGCAUUUACAAGUACUUUAUUCAACCAUGCUGUAGAUAUAAUGCCUCCUUCCCUUUCUGUUGUACUUCACCAACAACCAAACCAAAAGGUUUUGUGCAUCUCUUCAUUUUGUUGGGCCAGACAACAGUAAGGGAAGGUGCGUGGGGAGAUAUUUCACAGGAAAAAUAAAAUCACCCAUUGUCCUAAUUGAAAGAAAAAAUAGCUUUUCUGAAUUAUCCAAUGUAGUUUUUGAAAAAAAGUGAAGAAAAAGUGAAGUGAAGAAAUUGAAUUUUGAGUCAUGCCAUUAUUUGGUUAUUUGGAAGAAAGGAGGGUAUACCAAUAAUAAUAAUAACUUAAAAAGCAUCCAAACAUACACGUAUUCUGUUUAUUUAUUUAUUUAUUUUCUACUUAGGAAUUGGCUAAUAGGGAGGGUAAUGUGGAUUAUGUAAUGGGCUACUUCACUACUGUGGAACAGCACAGCCUAAUGGGAAAUGUAUGUAGCUUCCUGCAUAGAUUGGGGAAGAAGUAAAACAAUUUCUUUGCCAAGGUCUCAGAAACAAAAGUAAAGAAAGCUUCAUCCCUUUGUGCUGCAGUACCAGUGUACAAGGAGUCACAAUGCAUUCUUCUAAUGAAAUGCUACUGAAAGCAUAUCUUGAUUUCACUGGCAGUCAGACCACUACAAAGCUGCACCUGUUUUCUUCCUAGUACUCUGCACUUAAAUGUGUGGCUGAAGUUGAACACUGCCAAUAGCAGGUCCUUCUUAGUGAACAAAAUUGUAUGUCAGAAGUUGCAUACAGGAAUGACAGAACUGUGUAUCCAUAUUAGGUGUUUGUAUGCCUUCAGAUCCCAUAGACCAGUUUAAUGUUAUAUUAAGGCUCCUCAAUAUGGAUAAGAAGUAUUCCAAGAAAUAUUUUUCCAUAUAGAUAUGGAGCAUCCUUCUUCACUGAUGCAGAACAACUGCCUGCAGAUCAAUGAAAAUCUGCUGUUUUCACCCAUUGAAGAGAUGUAUUUGUCUCCAUUCCUAAUUCAGAUGAAAAAAUCUCUCAUGAUAUAUUCUCCUGUUGGUUUGUUGGCAUAGAGACAAAUACCCAGUAAAGUACAAAAAAGUGCCUGUGAUAGUUAGGAAAAAAAAUCCCUAACUUGUGUUAGUGCUAAUAAUUAAAAUAUAGGAAGCUACAUGUCAAGAAUCUGAAAGCCAGAAAUGAACACUGAUUUCUCUCAGUUUUAGGCCUUUGAAAUACUUUUAAAGUACUUUUGAUUAAUCUGAACUCUUACAAUUAAAGAAGCUCAUCAUACUGCAUCAUGCAGUGUUCAGAUGCCCUAACUUUUGAAUGCUGCCUCUGUGGUGUUAAUAGAGCAUUAAUAUAACAUGUUUAGAUACAUCUGAACAUCGUUUUUAGUUUAUAAUGCAGUAAUU
rnacentral:lncRNA from 1 species